AUAAGCACUGAGCAUAAGCACUGCAUAAGCUAAGCAAUAACUAAAACAUCUCCAUAUUACCAAGAUUAUUUUCAGCACAAAUCCAAAAUACAGCCCCAUACCAGCCUAAAGAAAAUUAAAUUUAUCCCAGCCAAAACUGCUACACCCAUGUGUACAAAGAGUUAACAACUCGGUGUAUUCACAGGAUAGGAAAUAAGAACAGACUUAAUACUGAAGUGCAGUGCAUCCUCAGGAAACACAAAGACUUCCUCGGGUGACCAGAACAAAGGGGUCCACCCAGCACCACGACACAGCAGCCCACAAGACAGGACAGCUCAACUCUGAUGGAGCAUCUGCUUUUCAGCAAGGUCUUGCUUUUGUUACCCAAUUUUCCAGCUGGAUUGACAGAGGCACAAAGAAGUCAAGUGACCUGCCCGGGUCAGACAGCGCCGGUGGCUUGGAACAGAUUGGAGCCCUCCUGUCUCCAUACCCUGCACUGGACCGUGGUCCCUUUUACAAGUUCUUCUACACUAGAGAUAAAUUGUGUCCACUUUUCCCUCUUGUCUUCUUGUCUCAUAGUAAGCCCCCCUCAUUUUGUUUAUAUGGUUGUUUCACUUCUGAAUAUAGGUUUAAGCUACU